ensembl:lncRNA
AGAUGAUCCGUCACCAGAGGGAGGGGGAACAGGCAUGGCCUGUGCUUCCCAACAAAACAGCCAUUCCCGGGAAUAAGAGCUUCUCAUGGGGACAGGACACACAUUUAACUGUAUUAACAACAAAGCAGGGCUUCCCCGGCAGCCUAGUUUAAGAAUCCCCCGGCCAAUGCAGGGGACAGGGGUUCAAUCUCUGAUCUGGAAAGAUCCCACAAGGAGUGGAGCAGCUGAGCCUGUGCAUCACAAGUACUGAGCCAAUGUUCUAGAGACCACGAGCCACAGCUACUAAGCACACACACCGCAGCUACUGAGCACACAGACCACAGCUACUGAGCUCACACCACAGGUACUGAGCUCACAGACCACAGGUACUGAGCGCACACACCACAGGUACUGAGUGCACACACCACAGCUACUGAGCGCACACACUGCAACUACUGAGCACACACACCACAGCUACUGAGCUCACACACCACAGCUACUGAGCGCACACACCACAGCUACUGAGUGCACACACCACAGCUACUGAGUGCACACACCACAGUUACUGAGCAUACACCCCAGCUACUGAGCAUGCACCACAGCUACUGAGUGCACACACCACAGCUACUAAGUGCAUACCACAGCUACUGAGUGCAUACCACAGCUACUGAGCACACACACUGCAACUAGUGAGCACACACACCACAGCUACUGAGCUCACACACUGCAGGUACUGAGCACACAC